GAAUUUUCGAUCCCUGCCCGCGUUCCGCUUCCUCGUUUCUCUCUCGAGUCCGCCCCCCGUACCUUGAGCCCUCGAUCCCUUCCGCCGCCGUGCCUCAUCCUGUCGCGCCGCCCUACUGCCCUCACUCCAGCGCGCCCCCACCAGCACCACCACACCGUCGCUCGCUCCACCGCCGUCACCGCUCCUCUCCUCCAAUCCACGUUCCGGUCCUCCGUCGCCCGAGGCCCCUCCAUUCCUGAAACAGAAACCGCCUCCUCCGCGUUCCAUUCUCCCCUGAUCGAUCCCCUCUACUAUCAUGGUACCCGCUUCUCUCGCUCGAUCACUCCUCCGUCCCGAACAGAUCAGCGCCUCCGCGUUUCGUUCUCACCCUCUGAUCCCGCCGGAUCCAACGCUGAUCAUCCGCAAGCUCUGCACCGGCCCUUCUUGAUCAUCCGUUACCUCACCCCCCGCGAGGUCUCAAUCUGCACGAAACCGUUCGGAGCUGCCCCAGCCGCGCUGCUUCGGCCGCCAUUCGCGGGAUGCUCCGCUCCGUCGCACGAGCCCUCUGUUCCGAUCCUCUUGACUACCACAGCAAAGAAUAGAGCCGCGCGAUUCGUUGUCAUCAAGCCAAAAGAGAUGCGAGGAGAUGACGGAUGGGAAGCGGGAGGGUUUGGUGGGCCUCGCCUUCGUCCGGGUCCGCCACCGCUCCCUGCACAGUCGAGGCCUGAUAGAGCCGCUUCCGUCAUCCACCGCCCCUUAGCGAGACCACGCCGUCCUCCCCCCUUCAUCUUGGCGGCGUGAUAGCCGCAAGCCGCCCUCCUCGGCAUCGGCGGUGACUACACUACAAGCUGUUCAUCUCCCAGGGCGGGUUCUGGAACACGCGCGAGCUUGAGGAGACGUCAUCGAGGAAGCUGGUGUGGCCAAAUCAACCGUUCGAGUGCAUCCCACCUGCCGCUUCCUACAGUGCCACCGUCACCCGGGCGGAAGAGGAUGCCACCAGUGGUGCCAAUGAGGUGUUCGAUGGAAGUCCUGACUGCCAUACCGACAUCAGCUUGCAUCACAGCGGUUGCCAUCCAAGCUGAAAGCACUGCAGCGCCUGGCGCCUGUAAGCACCGAACUGUGAUCAUGUAGUCUCAGUAGGAGUUCUGGCUGCAAUCGACGGCCACUAUGUGUUAUGCUUAAUCCCAAAUCCUAAUCAUUGGUAAAACGCCCUUUGUUCAAUCGUAGCGAAUCUCCAGUAGAGGUGGCCACAGCACAAGGCGUUUUGCUAGACCGUGUCGAAACUACUCUGGAUUUUAGAGUGCAUAGGUUUGCUGAUGGAGCCACAAAAGUUGUCCAGUCAGUUCUGUUAAUCGUUGAGGUAUGAAUCCAUCUGAAACCAGCACUUCCUCAUUAUCUCUCAGUAACCAAAUUUCUUGGCCUAGCUUGUUUGUGUUCUCUCUUGCUAUUGUACAUAUUAGUAAAUUUUUUGUUGGCCUUCAACACAUUAGGAGCUUCAAAUCAGUUCUCGGUAUUGCGGCAAAGUUUCAGAGCUUUCAGCAAAACUAUAUCCCUACUUCUCACACCAAUUCAAGUCGGUAUUACAUUAUAUAUCAUAACUUGUAGGCCUGCUAAAUAAUCAGGUUUUGACCUUCUGUGAGUUUGCAGUGUGAGACAUGUAUUUGCACUGAUUUGUGAUCCUUAAGUUUCAUGGCCGUUUUUCAUUUUGCUUGAUCUGUUGCUAAAUUGAUAAAAGGAGAAACUCUUGUGAAAUUCGGUUGGCACUUGGAUGAUUUAGUUGUUUGAUUGAACAAUGAACUGGUCAGAUUUUUUUCUUCAGAAAUCCAGUCCUGUUUUGUUGGAAAAAGGAAUCCAGUACUAUUUUCUGAAUGUACAGGCAUAAAAUUGACUACAGUAGGAUCAUUGUCUUGAUGAGCUUGUUCUCAGGUUUUGCUUAUUGAUGCAUUUAUCUUUCAUCCAGAUCAUUUUUUUGUCUGAGUCUUUUCCUGGUGCCCUGCUGUGAUGGUCAGUUGUAUUAUUCGCAACGAGAAAAUUCCUGUCUUAUAGGUGGUCAGGAGGGAGUCACGGUUGUAUAAAAACAAAAUACUAGAAAGAGAAGGUAUAAACCACGUCUAGGGUCUCCUCUUUUGUAUUCUUUGUAGAUUCUCCACUGCUGCAGCCUGGGACUACCUGCUUCUGUGGGGGAGCCGCGGAGGAAGGAGUACCUACGCUACAAUUUCCUCGAUAAGCUUGUGUGAUUUUAGGUGUCCAAAACCUUGCAAGCCACCAGAUGAUUUACAACUUGUAAGCGUUGCUGGUCCGUAGCUACCUAAUUCCAGACAAUGCCAUGUAGGAGGAUGACUGUCUUGCUCUCAUCUUGCUACACGGGUAAGAUUUCUCUGUUUCUCGUUGGAGCAUAUUUGUGGCCUUAAAGAUAAAUGUGUUUUCAGGUUUCAUUUCUAGGGUCUGAUUGCAUUAAUUAUGCAUUUUUUAUGUAUCUACUCCUGGGUUUAGGAUGUAUCUUAAUGUGAUUGUCACUUCCACAUUAGAUUUGUUUAUUCAUCUAUCAGAAUUUUGAACUGAUCAUGACAGUUGUUUGUAUUUUCUUUACUUUUCAUGAAGCUAGAUGAAUUAUUGUUGUAUGGAGUUGAAGCUGUGUGAGGAAUGACAACAUCCUU